ACGAACGCUGGCGGCGUGCCUAAUACAUGCAAGUCGAGCGCUUCUUUCCUCCCGAGUGCUUGCACUCAAUUGGAAAGAGGAGUGGCGGACGGGUGAGUAACACGUGGGUAACCUACCCAUCAGAGGGGGAUAACACUUGGAAACAGGUGCUAAUACCGCAUAACAGUUUAUGCCGCAUGGCAUAAGGGUGAAAGGCGCUUUCGGGUGUCGCUGAUGGAUGGACCCGCGGUGCAUUAGCUAGUUGGUGAGGUAACGGCUCACCAAGGCCACGAUGCAUAGCCGACCUGAGAGGGUGAUCGGCCACACUGGGACUGAGACACGGCCCAGACUCCUACGGGAGGCAGCAGUAGGGAAUCUUCGGCAAUGGACGAAAGUCUGACCGAGCAACGCCGCGUGAGUGAAGAAGGUUUUCGGAUCGUAAAACUCUGUUGUUAGAGAAGAACAAGGACGUUAGUAACUGAACGUCCCCUGACGGUAUCUAACCAGAAAGCCACGGCUAACUACGUG
rnacentral:rRNA from 1 species